CCGACGCCGCGCAGCAGCAGCAGGAGAAGAGGUUGACGAUCGCGAGUUCGCUUUCCAACUCCCUGCUGGAGCUCGCAGAGCAGAGCGCCGCAGCUGGCUCUAACAAGGUGAAGCGGACGGGCAGUGCCGGCUCGCUGGACAGCGGAAUGGUAAGUGCAGUGUCGUCGACGAGCAGCCUGCUGACUCAGGCGGCACAGGCGGCAGCCGCGGCCGGCAAGGUGGCGCCACCGAAGUCUCCGAGUCAGAGCUUCCGUCUCGGCGGUCUGUUCGGCAAGAAGAGCCGCAAGCUGCCGCUGAAGGCUGACGUCAUGAAGCCAGUCGUCACCGACAGCACCGAGGUAUAGCGGCAACCCGCGGCGGCCCGCAGCGACCCAGGGGAGCUUGUGACAACCCGCAGCGACCCACGGGAGCUAGCGGCGGCCCACGGGAGCUUGUGACAACCCGCAGCGACCCAUGGGAGCUAGCGGCGGCCCACGGGAGCUAGCGGCGACCCACGGGAGCUAGCGGCGGCCCGCAGCGACCCACGGGAGCUUGUGAAAACCCGCAGCGACCCAUGGGAGCUAGCGGCGGCCCGCGGGAGCUAGCGGCGGCCCGCAGCGACCCACGGGAGCUUGUGACAACCCGCGGCGACUCAGGGCGGCCCACGAGACCUUGGAAAGAACAGGAAGAUGGAUGGUAGCUUGCGCUAGCUUGGCCCAGAUCACAUCCUGCGCUAUCAGUGAAGAAACCAGAGUUAGUGAUGAACACAUCACCAGCCUUUAGUGAACAAUUGAAUGGCCGUUUGGGCCACCGUACUGGAGACUUGUGCGUACGUCG